UACCCGGGAAGGGGGCCAGUGCAGGU
rnacentral:piRNA from 1 species